GAUGAACGCUGGCGGCGUGCCUAAUACAUGCAAGUAGAACGCUGAAGGAAGGAGCUUGCUCUUUCCGGAUGAGUUGCGAACGGGUGAGUAACGCGUAGGUAACCUGCCUGGUAGCGGGGGAUAACUAUUGGAAACGAUAGCUAAUACCGCAUAACAGUAGAUAUUGCAUGAUAUCUGCUUGAAAGGGGCAAUUGCUCCACUACCAGAUGGACCUGCGUUGUAUUAGCUAGUUGGUGAGGUAACGGCUCACCAAGGCGACGAUACAUAGCCGACCUGAGAGGGUGAUCGGCCACACUGGGACUGAGACACGGCCCAGACUCCUACGGGAGGCAGCAGUAGGGAAUCUUCGGCAAUGGACGGAAGUCUGACCGAGCAACGCCGCGUGAGUGAAGAAGGUUUUCGGAUCGUAAAGCUCUGUUGUAAGAGAAGAACGAGUGUGAGAGUGGAAAGUUCACACUGUGACGGUAUCUUACCAGAAAGGGACGGCUAACUACGUG
rnacentral:rRNA from 1 species